rnacentral:rRNA from 1 species
GCGGUGAAAUGCGUAGAUAUCAGGAGGAACACCGGUGGCGAAGGCGGCUCUCUGGACGGUGACUGACGCUGAGACGCGAAAGCGUGGGGAGCAAACAGGAUUAGAUACCCUGGUAGUCCACGCUGUAAACGAUGAGCACUAGGUGUCGUGGGUAUUGACCCCCGCGGUGCCGCAGCUAACGCAUUAAGUGCUCCGCCUGGGGACUACGGCCGCAAGGUUAAAACUCAAAUGAAUUGACGG